GCCGAUGUAGCUCAGUUGGUAGAGCAAUUCCAUGGUAAGGAAUAGGUCACCAGUUCGAAUCUGGUCAUCGGCU
rnacentral:tRNA from 1 species